GGUGUAACAGUUUUUGUUUAUUAACACAAGCAAUAGAAGGUUUAAGCACUGUCAGGUUGUCCAUGGUGGCGGUAACAGUCAGUACGGGAGAAAUGGACACGUUCUAUUUGAUAAACACCCUAUUUCAUUCCCCAAUUGAGGAGCACUGUCCUGGUACCAUGCAGAACGAUGCAUAAUUUUACUAUCAUUACUGAUGCUGGUAAGUACUUCUCCCCAUCAUCUUAUGCUGCUCUUACACGAUUUUCCAUAUGCAAAGACUUUAGCGUAAUUAAUGAAACAAUGCACUCAUAUUUCUCUAUGUUACAAUCCUGAUGCUACCCAAUGAGGAUCUGACUCUCCCGAUUUAAACCUUCCGCAAAUUUAAAAUUCUGGUUUUUGGUUUCAAAUCUCUACAUAAUGCUACUCCUACCUACCUAUCCUCUCUAAUACACAAGUAUGUCCCAUCGAGGCCCCUACGCUCUGCCGAAGACUUGCGUUUAUCCUCUUUUCGUACUCCCACCUCUGAAGCUUGUAUCCAAGACUUCUCUAGGGCUGCACCGUUCUGUGGAACUCGCUUCCCUCCUCCGUUAGAUGAUCACCCAGUCUCCACCCCUUCAACAAAAAUUAUUAAAAACUCACUUUUUUCAAAAGUGUAUCAAUGAAACUAUUAAUAGCGCCCGACUGAUUUCUCUCUUGCAACUGUCAUUAAAAAAAUAAUAAUUCAAAAACCACACUAAGUCUUCAGUGAAUACAAUUCUACCAGUCUACUUCCCUAAUACUAUCUUUACUUUUUGUGUCACUAUACCCCACUCCCACUAACAUGUAAACUCACUGAGCAGGGCCCUCAAUCCCUCUGUUACUGUGUCACUAUACCCCACUUCCUCUAACAUGUAAACUCACUGACCAGGCCCUCAAUCCCUCUGUUACUGUGUCACUAUACCCCACUCCCUCUAACAUGUAAACUCACUGAGCAGGACCCUCAAUCCCUCUGUUACUGUCACUAUACCCCACUUCCUCUAACAUGUAAGCUCACUGAGCAGGCCCUCAAUCCCUCUGUUACUGUGUCACUAUACCCCACUUCCUCUAACAUGUAAGCUCACUGAACAGGGCCCUCAAUCCCUCUGUUACUGUGUCACUAUACCCCACUCCCUCUAACAUGUAAACUCACUGAGCAGUGCCCUCAAUCCCUCUGUUACUGUGUCACUAUACCCCCCUCCCUCUAACAUGUAAACUCACUGAGUAGGGCCCUCAAUCCCUCUGUUACUGUGUCACUAUACCCCACUCCCUCUAACAUGUAAGCUCAC